AGAGGGUGACCAAUCACAAAGUAGAGAAAAGAGAGAAAGGAGAGACUUAAGGGAGUAGCCAACUGGACCCUUUCCUCUUAACCCGUUACACAGCGACUCGACACGUGUUCCGAUGACUUUUCCUGACGAUUUUCUAUCCAUUUUUUCGCUGAUUUACGGCCUUCCACCCCUACCAAACAACUCCUUGGCCUUCCUUCUUCCAUUUCCACCCAAAACCUAGUUCCUUUAACCCAUGAUUUGAGGAGAACGGAACAUGUGGGUUCCCAAGUGGUCAUGGUGAGAACCGCCAAUCCUGCAGGUUCCGACCACCACUACCAACACCAAACCACUCCUCUACAAGCCAGGAACAAACCCCAAAAAAGUUUGGGGGCGGCAGAGCAUCGGAAGAGACGAAUCAAUAAUCACCCAUUUUUAGGGUUCCGGCGAGAACGCGGGUCAAUCAGGGUGUUUUCUGAUCAAAUUGGACUUCGACUCAGGCGCGUUGACGGGAAGCGGCGUCAUCCUCUCUAGUUCGAGCAGUUCUCGAGCAAUAAAAUCUGAGUUAAAGCCGAGGUACAAAAUCCCGGCGUAAGGACACCUCCCUAAGGAAUAUUCAAUUCUUCUUUGGGGAUACAUAAUUGGCAAUCCAGCUACAAAUGUUAAAGGGGAUGUUAACUCGAGAAUCGAGUAUGCUCAUCGUAUGGCGCUUAUAUCAGAUAGAAUAUACGAGUCAACUACAAGGAAUUGCAGUGGCGAAUACGUAGAUGUAGAUCCAAACAAUCAACUAUGCCUCAACAGUCUUCAAGCUUUCCAGGAGGUACGUAUCACCAUGGUUGCAUAUCCAAAGAAUUAAAGUAUUCUGGGGGUCAUCUCAAAGUGUGGUUCGAUGAUUCAAGCUUUCAGAAUCUGUGUGAAAUUUUUUAAGAAAUCAGAAAUCGUUGAUCAUUUGAUUAUGCUUAUCAAGAUUUCAUUAUUGUUUGUCAAUAAAGGAUUGUUUUAUUUAUUCUCUCUUAGGUAUAUGACUAAAUAAUUUCAUAUUUAGUUCAUGUUUUUAUAACGAUAAUCUUCAAAGGAAAAUCUAAAAUGUGGACCGGAACUUGACACCCUAUAUACAUUCUUGAGUUUCAAUCUGAUCAUGUAAAGUGUCAAAUGUGUACACACACACACACACAAUCCUAACACCCUACAUGGUUUUGAUCUUCUAUUAUAUAAAGUCACUUGAUCAUUGAGUAUGCAGUGCACUGGAAGACUUGAUUCCGAACACAUAUUGGCACCUUUCUGCCCCAAGGCAAACGACUAUAACGAAUUAACAGUGUUAGAAAUGAACUGGAAUUGGAAGGCGGGUAUCUCACUCCCUGUUGAGGAUACUUUGAAAGAUUUCCCCUCUUCUCUGCAGUUGUGUCGGAUGUGUUGCAGGAAGAUAGGAUCCGCUACGCUGUUCUUUGGGCGAAUGAUAUAAACGUCCGUAAAGCUUUCAACAUUCGAGAGAUACACAAUUUACCAUUCAAAUAAAGAGUAUAAUUUGACAUAUGCGACCAUAAAGGCAUGUCCGAUAACAUCCGUACAUUAAUGUACUAAUUAAAAUCACAAACCAUUUCUGAUCUUAGAAUUGAUUCCAAGUUGCAAUUGUGCAGGGAGGAGGGCAUACAGCUCCAGAGUACAAUCCUAAGGAGUGUUUUGAUAUGUUCAAUAGGUGGCUAGGGCAUUCUCCUAUUUAAUCUGUUAUACCACACUAAGGCCUCGUUUGAUAGAGAUGAUUGAGUUAAGUAUGACUAUUACUGUGUAACUACAAGUACAUUUACUUAACCGUAACGUCUUUCAUAAUUUUGGUACAUUAUGUUUUCCCAUAUCAUAG